UACGUAGGUCCCGAGCGUUGUCCGGAUUUAUUGGGCGUAAAGCGAGCGCAGGUGGUUUAUUAAGUCUGGUGUAAAAGGCAGUGGCUCAACCAUUGUAUGCAUUGAAAACUGGUAGACUUGAGUGCAGGAGAGGAGAGUGGAAUUCCAUGUGUAGCGGUGAAAUGCGUGGAUAUAUGGAGGAACACCGGUGGCGAAAGCGGCUCUCUGGCCUGUAACUGACACUGAGGCUCGAAAGCGUGGGGAGCAAACAGG
rnacentral:rRNA from 1 species